UGCCUCAAUGAAAAAAGACCUACGAAAAAAGACCUACGAAAGAAAAAACAACGACAAAAAAUCAGGCGACUCGCACGCACGAGCGAGGCCUCUAGAUCCCGUCGCCACCGCCCGACACCGCCAGCCCCGUCCUCCUCCCUGGCUCCCGGCGCCGCCCGCCCCCCAUCUCCUCCUGCGAUCCUGGCGUCGCCCCGCCCCACCUUCUUCCUCACUCCCGGCGCUACCUAUCGAUCCCCUCGACGACACAGAGCCGCCAUCCUCUCAUGCGAUCUCGCUGCCGCCACCCUCCGAUCCGCUCCUCCUCUCCCGAGGAUACGCAUCCGCAUCCGCCGACGCCGAUACGGGCAGGCGCGGCCAUCGUGGAUCACGAGGAUCCGGAUGAUGGAGGCCGGCGACGACGGCGACGGAUCCGCACCCACAGCAUCCGGAUGGAGGCCGGCGACGAACCCAUCCGCCGACGGCGCCGGAUCUGUUACCGAGUGUCUGAAAUACUUGUCAAAUGUGGCUCAGUGAUAGAAUUAAGAAUGAAGGAGGAAGAUACCAGCACCAGCCCCAGCAAUAAAGACUGCGGCAAGGGCGACGACAGUGUGUCUCGACGAGCGUGAGCAAUGGCAGCAUCAUCUCCGACUCCAAGUACCUGACCAAGACGCUGUCCAGGUCACACGUCGAGGACUUCCUCCUGGACAAUGCCGCCUCCUUGGCUGUUGUUGUCGUCUCCUCAAAUAAGUCGUAUCAGCGCAUUUAGGCUCUGGUCAACAAGUGGACGGACAGGUUGUCCAUUCUUGUUGUUCUUGCGUGUCAAGAUUCUUGGCUGCAGACUUGCAGUUCUGCAGAUACACCAUGAUUGCAGCAGGUGUUGGAAGAAAUCAUCCGAUGGUCAUAACUGACGAAGGAAGUGCUUUGUAUACGGACAAGCUGGGGACGAGUUCACUAAGGAGUGGGACUAAGGUGUCACCACUCCCCUGCCUUGUUACUAAAGCAACUAAUGUUGUUUGUGGUGCUGACUUCACUAUCUAACUGUCAUCGGUUGAGGGAUCUUCCGUACUGUAUGGCCUUCCUGAAACUAUGAAACUUAAAGAUUAGCACGCUCUUUUUUCUUUCAGAUAAAGCAAAAGGCUUUGAUCAUCUUCUCAUGAUAAAAUAUUUAGAUAAUUAUCUGCUUUGGUUGUUAUUAGUGGGGUUUUCCUUCGUCAUUUCUUUGAAGAUGUAUUUAGUUCUUCUGUGCUAUUCAGUACAUCAGGACUUCCUCGGUACGGCUAACUUGGUCAUGGAAGCGAUAAUCAGAUCACUCCUUAAUGUUAAGAGGGGAGGGAUGAUUUUAAGGAUAUUUUUGUAAAAGGAGGACAUUGACAAAAACAUUGAAUACAAGGAGCUUGCAACCAUGAUGGAAUGAAUCUUUGCGUGGUAGCCUGCUUGCCGCCCAGAUAGUGAGCCCCUGAGCUCCUGAAGAAAGGACAGUUGAAGGAAAUGAAAGAAGCGAACACAAAGGAUCCUACGCCAAAGGAUGAAGAGGUCGAGGAAGUGAUGGAAGGGGGUGCGUGGAGGAGGACAGGUGCAUGGUGAAGCUGGCGUGAUGGCUGCGAAGGUCAAAGGAGAGAAGGCUAGCACUGGACUUAUUUUGGAGUCUCUUGACAGGCACAUCGCACAUCAACCUUGGGUGAUUUAAGUUGGAAGAAUCCAAUCAAGACUUGACAUGGAGUGACAAUGCCCUCCUAUCAAGGGGACAUCAAAUACCGAGGGAAAAUCUCUCUCAAAUAAUAGAAUAUAGUUAUUUUGUUCCAGUACAACUUUCUUUCGUUUUCAUCCUUGCUUCGAUGUAGAUAGUAUGAGGACAGAGAUUACAAGACACCUGACAAUAAAUUAUUUAUUAGAUUUGG